rnacentral:rRNA from 1 species
UACGUAGGGUGCGAGCGUUAAUCGGAAUUACUGGGCGUAAAGCGUGCGCAGGCGGUUCGUUGUGUCGGCGGUGAAAGCCCCGGGCUCAACCUGGGAAUGGCAUUCGAGACUGCUCUGCUAGGGUGCGGAAGAGGGGAGCGGAAUUUCCGGUGUAGCGGUGAAAUGCGUAGAUAUCGGAAGGAACACCAGUGGCGAAAGCGGCUCCCUGGUCCAGCACCGACGUCAGGCACGAAAGCGUGGGGAGCAAACAGG